rnacentral:rRNA from 1 species
CACGUAGGGCGCAAGCGUUGUCCGGAAUUAUUGGGCGUAAAGAGCUCGUAGGCGGUCUGUUGCGUCCGCUGUGAAAACUCGGGGCUUAACCCCGAGCCUGCAGUGGAUACGGGCAGACUAGAGGUAGGUAGGGGAGACUGGAAUUCCACGUGUAGCAGUGAAAUGCGUAGAGAUGUGGAGGAACACCGAUGGCGAAGGCAGCCUCCUGGGCCAGCACUGACGCUCAUGCACGAAAGCGUGGGGAGCAAACAGG